rnacentral:rRNA from 1 species
UACAGAGGGGGCAAGCGUUGUUCGGAAUUACUGGGCGUAAAGGGCGCGUAGGCGGCCUUCUAAGUCGAACGUGAAAUCCCCGGGCUCAACCCGGGAACUGCGUCCGAUACUGGAAGGCUUGAAUCCGGGAGAGGGAUGCGGAAUUCCAGGUGUAGAGGUGAAAUUCGUAGAUAUUCGGAAGAACACCAGUGGCGAAGGCGACUUACUGGACCAAUACUGACGCUCAUGCACGAAAGCGUGGGGAGCAAACAGG